UGNAGUCGAACGGCAGCACGGGGGCAACCCUGGUGGCGAGUGGCGAACGGGUGAGUAACAUAUCGGAACGUGCCCUGGAGUGGGGGAUAACUAGUCGAAAGAUUAGCUAAUACCGCAUACGAUCUACGGAUGAAAGUGGGGGAUCGCAAGACCUCAUGCUCGUGGAGCGGCCGAUAUCUGAUUAGCUAGUUGGUGGGGUAAAGGCCUACCAAGGCAUCGAUCAGUAGCUGGUCUGAGAGGACGACCAGCCACACUGGGACUGAGACACGGCCCAGACUCCUACGGGAGGCAGCAGUGGGGAAUUUUGGACAAUGGGCGCAAGCCUGAUCCAGCAAUGCCGCGUGAGUGAAGAAGGCCUUCGGGUUGUAAAGCUCUUUUGUCAGGGAAGAAACGGUGGAGGUUAAUACCUUCUGCUAAUGACGGUACCUGAAGAAUAAGCACCGGCUAACUACGUGCCAGCAGCCGCGGUAAUACGUAGGGUGCAAGCGUUAAUCGGAAUUACUGGGCGUAAAGCGUGCGCAGGCGGUUGUGCAAGACAGAUGUGAAAUCCCCGGGCUCAACCUGGGAAUUGCAUUUGUGACUGUACGGCUAGAGUGUGUCAGAGGGGGGUAGAAUUCCACGUGUAGCAGUGAAAUGCGUAGAGAUGUGGAGGAAUACCGAUGGCGAAGGCAGCCCCCUGGGAUAACACUGACGCUCAUGCACGAAAGCGUGGGGAGCAAACAGGAUUAGAUACCCUGNUAGUCCACGCCCUAAACGAUGUCUACUAGUUGUCGGGUCUUUAUUGACUUGGUAACGCAGCUAACGCGUGAAGUAGACCGCCUGGGGAGUACGGUCGCAAGAUUAAAACUCAAAGGAAUUGANGGGGACCCGCACNAGCGGUGGAUGAUGUGGNUUAAUUCGAUGCAACGCGAAAAACCUUACCUACCCUUGACA
rnacentral:rRNA from 1 species